UGUCGCUAAAACAUGCCAAUAUUCUCUUUCCUGUUCUAGUGUCCAUCUUUGUGUUUUAAGCUUUGUUCUCGCUUUCUCGCUUACAUUCUCGGUUGAUAAUGUUAAGUAUGGUAUUUGUGGUUAACCAAAUGGAUUGGUCCAGAAAUCAUUUAUCCAUCAAAUGAGGCUUUUUUACUCUCUUUGAUUACGUUGUACGUAAUGAAAAAAAUUUUGACAGCUUAAGAAGUUAGUGCCUCAAUUUAAACCGAUUUUCAUGGCUAAUCGACUUCUAGUUCUGGUUGGAUCCCCAAUAGGAUGUCCAUGGGCAUGAUGGUAAUUCACUUGGUGUGGAUGAUUUACAAGUUGGUAUUUUUCACAUUGAAAAAUGGUGUCAUUUAUUGUUUUUCGGAAAAAAACCCUGUUACAAACAAACGUUGCAUGACACCUGAAAGAAAUUAUGAUUACCAAAUAACAAAUAGCAGCUGGUUUUCAGAAAUGUAUGUUUCAAGAUGAACUUUGAAGUUAGAUGUUCCAUUAUUUGGCUGGAUUCCUACUUAUGCAUCUUUCAUAAUCAAAUCAAUCUUAUUUGCAAGACAAAAUGAAAAACCACCAGUACAUGAACCAGUAUGGAGUUAACUGUUGUACUAACUUGUUCCUUGACAGCAACAAACAGCUUGAUAGAUAUUGCCGACCACUUAUCUGUUGGUGGAAAUCUAUUUGACAGUUAAAAUUGGCCAAAUACCUUGGGACUGAGAAAAUCCCUACGAUCAAAAUAGAGCAAGUGACUAGGGCUCGGCCCCGUGUCCAAUGGGUAGGUAUUCUCGAAAAAAAAAUGAGAUCCGUUGGGUAACGGUUCUUUAAAGUUCGUGCCCACUACCUACCCGGGUUUUAAGUGGGUAAUCGAAAAGUAAAACCGGGUCUGCUACCCGGUUCUCAUCGGGUUUUUACCCCGAUUGCCCCUUGUAUUUUUCCUUUAUUUUUUUUUCGUUGUCCAGUGAGUGUAAUUUUGUAACAUCUUUUGGAGAUGGGUGCAUCCCUAUGUCAGUAAUAUAUCGAACAAAUUUUAAAUCCAGAACUUUGAAAAAAAAAACUAAUUUAUUUAUUUACAAGUAGAAUAGAUAUUGGCCAGUAAAAAUUUUUUAGAAUUUUGUUGGGUGGAGAUUGUACAAAGACAUUUGUACAGUAAUUACGUCGAAUUUUGUUGAGUAGAAAUCCUACACAAAUGUUGUAGAUAAUGUAUAUUUGUAGAAAAUUUGUAGAAUUUCCUUUUGCAGAAUUCGGUAGAAAUUUGUUGUUUGUGGAGCGUCGUAGAUCAUUUCGUCGUUCUUUUCAGAGCUAAACACUUCUAACGAUAAAAAAGACAUCUUAUUGAACCGUUGGCUGCCUUUAUCCUGGAAAGACAAGGCUAGUUAUGCCCCUACACAAUUCCUAGAGGAAGGAAUGGACGUCAUUCGACCACCCGAUAAUGAGGAUUCGAGAUGAAAAUGACCGCAUUUAUGAGGUGUUGCCAUACUUAGAUUUAGAAAAAAGUCAUGUACUAAAAUUGAUUGGGAAAACUUUGGGUGAAAUAGCUCUGAAGAGAACUGUUGGUGAAAACUGGAGGAACUUCGAUGAAAACACGGGUAAGUCACGAGGCAAAAAACAAGAGGUAACUGCGAGAAUUCUGAGGAAUCUGCGAUUAACAUUACAAUAAACUAAAUUUGAUUAUGUAUUUUUCGGUAAUGGUGUCAUUGCCAGCAACCGUCAUUGAUGGUUUCUUUUGUGAUUUUCGGGAGGUAAUUGUUAAGCUGCGGUAUUUCUGUCAAUGAAUUUGGUAAGUUUUAAGUUUUUCCCAUAUAAUUCAAAAAUAAAAAGUUAUUUUUCUUUUAGAAAUUCUAUAUGUAACUAUUCUUGAACUCUGGCCAAAAUAUUCAAAAUUGGUGCUCACGGUAAAAUAAAAAAACAUUGUGCGGAACAAAUCGCAAUGGAGCAAGCCACAUUGGCAGUUAGGCACUUGUUAUGUCAGUUUGUGUAUGGUGUUUGAUUCUGAAACAAGUAAUUCCAUCGAUUGAUUGAAUGGAUAUCCUGAAUUCCCAUCAACAUUAAAUGAUCGGGAGGAUCGUCGCGGUAAGGACAUUAUCAUUUGUAAUGUUAGCAGUGCUGUGGGCAAAAAAGUUUCACUUUUUGGAUACAGAUAGGUUUUCAUUUAAUCUAAUCCAUCCUUUAACUACAGCAUUUCUUUUGCAGUAGCUUCUAUUGAAGCAUUAUAUUUAAUUUUCAGCAUUAAUGAAGAUUUUUCUUCCACUUGUACAAGUAAAUGGCUCUUUUUUAAAUCGGCUUUUGGUGCCCAGAGAAGUAUAGCUUUGUGGAAGGAGACCUGCAGUUGAUUGCUGGCAAAACUGACUAAAUCUAAAUUGAAAAACACUAAAAACAAUUUCCCCGUUACAGGUGUCAUGGGAGCAGUUUCGCUCAGUUAGUGAAGGUUACGCCCGUGGAAUGACAUUCCAACCUAACUCCGUGUAAUAGAUUAAUAAUAAAUCUUUUGUUAAUUAGCUAUAAUUUUGAUGACCAGAGGCAUCUUUGUUGUAGUUAUCUACACAAUAACAAGCAAUAUAUACACUAUAGUGGGGUUGUUUUGGGGUAGAUUAUUUCUUUUCCGUCGUUGGCCAUCGUUUGAUGACUUCCUUUCCUACCUUUUCCUGUUUUUCCUGCAAAUAUUUGACAGUUAGGAUCCUUUUGCCUGUCAUACAUACAUGUCUUCCAGAACCACGAGACCAUAUUCCAUACUCCUUGAACUUCUACCACCAAAUUAUCUAUUUGGUUACUGGAUUGGUCGCUUUCUCGUGGAUAAUUUUCCGUAAGCUUGGUUACAUUUACAUAUGUAUGUUGCUAUUUUUCAGGAAUCUCAAAUGUCUGAAUUUUAUGUAUUUCUUAAUCUCAAGAUUUUGUAAAAUUGUAUUGUCAGGCAGAAUUCUACCUGCAGAUAGCUGGUCUAAAUUCCAUGGAUUGCAACUUAAAAAUAUAAGAAAGACAUUUAUUCACUUCGCUUUUGUUAUUAAUCAAAAUACCUUUAGAGCUACUGCAUUUCUAUCCAGGACCAAAUUGAUUCAACCAAACAAACAAGUUCCAUACUGGUUCAUGUACCAACACAACAACCAUGCCUUCUAUUAAAUGUUCUUUUAAUUCCAACUCUUUUUCUCUGAAAAGUAUAAAAAUUCAAAAAUUACUGAUAAAUUAAAAAGUAUGAAAUAUCUUAGAAUACUUGUAUUCAAAAAGACAAAUUGAAGCCACUUCUACUUUGUAUUUCAACCACUUUACUUUAGUUUAUCUUUUUUGCAAAAUUUUAUUCAUGAGUGUUUUCUUAGUCUCAAGGUAUUUGUCCAAUUUCAAAUGUCAAAAAGAUUUCCACCAACAGACAACUGGUCAGCAAUCCCUGGUCAACAACCAAAAGCUAUUGGUUCCUGUCAACCUUUCCUGUCAAUGAACAAGUUGGUUUAACAGGGCACUUUUUGGCUGACAUUAGCGCCAUCCUACGACCAUGCUACGACUGGGAGAAACGUUUUUCUAUAUUCCCCACGCCUUAUAAAUCCGAAGGGUAAUUUUGGGCGCCAUUUUUCAAUUCGUACUUCUAUCAGUGAUGACGCUAAAAUCAAACAAUCGACGACAAUCUCAUCGUGUGGUAGAAAAAUAAAGCUUGUUUUAGCCGCCUGUCGGGCAUUCAAAGAGAGCUUACAUCAGAACUGCCACCGCGAUUAUAUUUUCUUUUGAAUUUGGAUUCUCGUCGAUGGUGUUGGUAAGUAUUCGUUCUCUUCUCACAUAGGGAAAUAUUAUCUGUUUUAAAGCUUUUGCCAGUACAAUCAUGUAUGCUAUUGUUUUAUGUUUUUUCUAUGCCUAAAUCUUUACACAAACUUUCAGAUUUUGCUGGGUGUAUUCACUCAAUAUCAAUUCCACCACGUUUAUUAAAAUCGUUGCAUGAUUAGCGACUUUGUGACUAAUUGAGUCAUCGUAAGUAGGCUUUUCAGUGUUGAGAUGAAGCGUUUGUCGAGAUUUAAUUAUAAUGUUAAGUGCAGUUAUUGGCAUGAGGAUAAAUUUUCUUUGUUGUCUUAUUCAAUAAUUUUGAUAACUGUUGAAAAGCAGGAUGGAUGGAUAACUUGGAUGGUAUUUCAAUAUAGCUUAUGCUGCUAGCUUGUUCUUCAUUCCAUGAGGCUGCAUCCAACGGUGAAUAAUUUGGAUGGUGGGUUUGUUAAAUUUUGAGCAGGGGUGAUUGAAUUGUGUUUGUCUAAUGUAAUCCUCCAUGGCUUAAGCAGUUGCAUGUGCUAAAUGAUUAGCAUUCAUGAUUUUGGCAUGAUAUUCAAAUGUGAAUUAUUUGAAAACUUGUUAGAACAAUACCUCAAGGUCGAGCAGCCUGUUGCCAUGCUGUAUUGAAUUUGCUGUGUUCUACAUGUUGAGUGUGCCAUUAAGCAUUCACUACUAAUUUCUAAUACAUGGUGAAUUAGAGUUGCUACAAUGAAGGGUAAAAGCUUGUGAUUUAAACCAUAAAAGGUUGGCAGAAGGUUUCCUGUAGUAAAGCUUCUCUUUUUUGCUCUGUGGUGAAUUGGUUAGUGCAUGGCUUGGUAGUAAUUAAAGGAGAAGUAGACCACAGCUUCAUUCUGUGGGGAUUUGCAUGUAUAUCUUCUGUAGGUGUAGGUGGUAAAAGCUCUUUAACAUUCAUCUCUUCUAUUUGGCAUCCUUUCUUGGGAUUGCGUUGGCAUCACUGAUUUUCGGCAGCUUAGCAGGUAGGAUGUCGCAUACACUUGGGCGAAAUCAGAACUUCCAGCAACUGCUGAUUGCGUCUUUUAUGAAGUCUCGAGUCCUUUCUCACUUGGCUUUAUUGAAGUGGGGGUUUGGGCUGCUGAACAAUUUCAAUUGUGGUGUUUUCAUUUACAAGUUGUCGUUUGAUUGCGCUUUUCCGUUACCUAUCAUUUUAAAAAUGUGAUGCCAGCCUUAAUAUUUUCUGAUUUGAAUUUGAGAUCAAAUAAUUUGCUUUUUCUUCGUUUACUUUUUAAACAAUGAAGUUUGCGAGCUUAUGUUAUUUCACGUUUUUCUUUUCAGAUUUUGGCUGUUCAUCAUAGACCAUCGUAUUACGAGUCUGCUGCUGUGGGUCAACUCAUUUCAGCUACAAUAUGUGAUAUCUUGCAUUUUUACAUGAUUAUAUUUCCUGUGUUUCUGACCCUGUUUGGAUUACAGGAACCAGUAUUUGAUCUUCUAUUUACAUUUUAGGUGGUCCUGUGUCAGCAAAUGGUUGUUCAGUUGGGAGCAUAUUGGCGUGGCGUUUGCGUGUGCAAUUCAUUUUCCUGUGAAAUUGUGGUAGUUGUGACAAUGUAUUGUGUGUUUUCCGUUAUGAUGAAAAUGAGUUUCCGUUUGAUCGUGAAGUAUUCUUUUUAAACAACUCUAACUUGAUCUAUUAGAAUCUGACUGACUUUGUUAACAAAUUAACCGUUUUGUUUUCAGGUUGUUCGGCUGACUAAUUUUACAUUUCAUUGUUAGAUGGGAUCCUUUGUCAACAACAUUCAUCUACGAAUGAUAAUCGGACGUUUAGCAGACGAAAUUUUGAAGACGUACUUGCGUAAUCGGCAUGUCAGUUUUUGUUCAAUGGAUGUUUUUAAUGCUGAUUGCUACAUUAACGCGAUGUGAUGAUUUGUUAUUUUAAAGUGAGUGGUGAUAGCUUUGAAGUGACUGUCUUAUUUAACAUAUUGAAAAUAUUGAUUUGCGUUACACCCGUGUUAGGGUGUGACGAUAGACUUAUUAGCAUUUAUUAUAAUGUCGGUAUAUGUGUGAUGUAUAUAAUGUAUGAUGAACUCUCAAUAAAAGCGAUUUUAAUAA